rnacentral:piRNA from 1 species
UGAUGCCUCUGUGCUCCUGGG